GGGAUAGGUGCAGAGACUCAACGGAAGCUGUUCUAACAAAUGGAGUUGGCUGGGUUAGUAGAGAAAUCUUUUCAUCGAAAAUUCCGAAAGGAUAAAGUGAAAGAUAAAGGUAUAUAUGUAUUGAAUACUAUAUCAAAUGACUAAUGACGACUCGACUGAAUCUGUAUUUUUUAUAUGAAAACGGAAGAGUUGGUGUGACUAGAUUCCACAUUGAAGAAAGAAUCGAAUAUUCAUUGAUUAAAUGAUUCACUCCAUAGUCUGAUAGAUCUUUUCAAGAAUUGAUUAAUCGGACGAGAAUAAAGAUAGAGCCCGUUCUACAUGUCAAUGUCGGCAACAAUGAAAUUUAUAGUAAGAGGAAAAUCCGUCGACUUUAA
rnacentral:tRNA from 1 species